rnacentral:rRNA from 1 species
UACGUAGGGCGCAAGCGUUGUCCGGAAUUAUUGGGCGUAAAGAGCUCGUAGGCGGCUUGUCGCGUCGGUUGUGAAAGCCCGGGGCUUAACCCCGGGUCUGCAGUCGAUACGGGCAGGCUAGAGUUCGGUAGGGGAGACUGGAAUUCCUGGUGUAGCGGUGAAAUGCGCAGAUAUCAGGAGGAACACCGGUGGCGAAGGCGGGUCACUGGGCCGAUACUGACGCUGAGGAGCGAAAGCGUGGGGAGCGAACAGG